AAAGGAGUAUCGUCGGCAGCGUCAGAUGUGUAUAAGAGACAGGUGAGUCAUCGAAUCUUUGAACGCACAUUGCGCCUAUUAGUAUUCUAGUAGGCAUGCCUGUUCGAGCGUCAUUUCAGACUCAGACAUCUGAAGUUGGAAUAUGUGAAUUCACAGUUCCUAAAUACAAUAACGGAUAUAAUGAUAGCCGGGUGUAGUAAAAUCUCGCCUAGGUGUUUGUUAGCGUCCACAAAAUUACAAAUGUUGACCUCGAAUCAGGUAGGAAUACCCGCUGAACUUAAGCAUAUCAAUAAGCGGAGG
rnacentral:misc_RNA from 1 species